ACCCCCUGCGCCACGCAAGAUGGCCGACACCCGACCCAUCAACCCGUGGGCUGUCCAAGAUGGCCGACGCCCUUCCCAGCACCCCCUAGACCCAACAAUAUGGCCGACGCCCUUCCCAUCAUCCCUUGAGCCCCACAAGAUGGCCGCUGCCCUUCCCAUCAUCCCCCACCAGACGCGGCCAUCUUGUCCCCUCGGCGGCCAUCUUCCUCUAUGGCUGCCCUCUUCUUCCUCAUUGACCAAUGUUCCCUUCUCAUUGCCCAAUUUCCCCAGUUUUUGCCCAUUUUACCCCCUCAUUAGCCCCUUUACCGCCUCGGUAGCCAUUUUACCCCCUUGGUAGCCAUUUACCCCCUCAGCAGCCAUCUUACCCCCUUGUCAGCCAUCUUGUCCCCCUGGCAGCCAUCUUCCCUCAAUGGCUGUCCUCUUCUUUGUUGACCAUUCUCCCUUCCCAUUGCCCAUUUCCCCCCCCUGGUUGCCCCUUUUACCCCCCCGGCGGCCAUCUUUGCCCCCCCCAGGUGGUGGUGCGGAUGCUGCAGGAGGGGCAGCCGGACGGCCGCAUCCUGGACGCCAUCGACUCCUUCUUCCCCGAGGGUGACGGCGCGGCGCUGGCGGCUUACGGCCACCCGAGCCCCCAGGACCUGGAGCUGGUGGAGGGGGCGCAGGAGAAUUUCCGGCAGCUGGUGCUGGAGCUGCUGGGGGACAGCCGGCGGCGGGCGGCCUACCUGGAGGACGCGGCGGGCCGUGACUACGGGGAGCCGUUCCUGCAGGCGCUGGAGAGCCUCUUCCACGAGUUCCUGCUGCGCCUCGAGAGCGCCCUGCCCCCCCCCGACGUCACCCAGCCUUGUUGCCCCGCCCCCUGCGCUGGAGCGGCCGCCCAUUGAACCCCGCCCCCAGGUGAGUGGCCCCGCCCCCUUCCCUUUAGCCCCACCCCCACCUCCUUUGAGGCCACGCCCCCUUUUGUUUAGCUCCACCUCCAGGCCCGCCAAGCCCCGCCCCGGCCUCCGCAGGCUCCGCCCCCUCCACGUGAGGCCAUUGGGUGAGUGCGGGGAGAGGGGGGCGGGGCCUCAACAGAAAGGGGCGGGGCCUCAUAAAGGGGGCGUGGACUCGCUGACCCCGCCCCCUCCCCCUUCCCAGAAUUCCUCGGUGACGUCAGCAGCGACUCGGAGGCAGAGGAGGUGCCACGCCGGAAGGUUAAUUAGGGGGGGGGAGGGUUUAAUUAGAAUGGGGAGGGGUUAAUUAGGGGGCGUGGCUAAUUAACGGCCCCUCCCCCUUGCUGUUCCCGCCUCCAGGCCCGCCUCCUGCCCCUCCCCCGCCGUGCUGCGCUGCUGGCAGGUCGGUGCUAACGAUCCG
rnacentral:lncRNA from 1 species